GGGAGAGCUCUGAGGGAGAGGACUUAGAGGAAGGAAACCUUAUGGAGGCAGAGGAGCCUUGAGGAAGAAGGAACGAUCUAGAGAGACCCACAGAAGUAUGAAACAAGGAAGAGAGUUGGAAGAUCUGCUGUGGGGUCAGUCUGGGUCCGAUGGAGAUGGAGCCUGCAGUCAUUGUGGAGCCAGGUAAAGGCCUGUGGUCAGAGGCAGCAAGGAAAUACUUGCAGUAAUGUUCCUGCAGGAAUAGCCAGCAGAAAGAUUCUGCCAGAGAAGCCAACAGCAGGAGUUUGCUGUAGUCAGAGUCAGGAUGGCUAAGCUGUAAAAGAGAAUAAACCAGGACCCUUUUCACAGUACUAAAUGUGACUCUGCGUCUUGGCUCAUUUCUACCCCUAAUGAGAGGUCUGCUGCAGCACUGAGACCAAGAUAGGGUAUCUGAGGGCAGCUGAUAAAGGAGGAAUAACCUACCUGUUAUCUGGGCUGCAGCACGAGGGAGGAGAGCAAAGGCCACCUCCUACCUAUCAACUGGAGAGGUAAUGAGCACUCCCUUACCUGGAUCUAGUGGUUUGCAGGCACAAGAGAAGUUCAUGGCAUAGUCCACCUUGAACUGGGAGUUGAUGGGAUAAUGAUCUGCCAGCUUGAUCAUCUUGAAAGCAUCAUAAACGAAGAAGAAGCUGAUCAGGGAGGAAAAUCCCUCUUUGGUCAAGAGGGUGAAGUAUUUGACCUGGAAGCUGGUGUUGGUGGCCACAGGAAGGCUGACCAGAGGCUGAUCCAGAGGUGGAGCAUGAGGGUUUUUGAUGAACUUACUGCUUUCCAGAGCAGUGCUUUUCCAAGCAACCACCAGUUCUGGAGUCAAGUUGUGGCCUUUGAAUGAUUCUCCUAUUCCUGCAAUAGCCACUCCUGAAGUUACUCUGAGGGGACAGAGAGAAUUAGAUGUGCUUCCUAAGAAGUGCUCCAGUCGGAGAAGUUCUACCCCUGCUUCCUCUCUUGGAGAAAUUCCAAGCACUGAGUUGUAAAAGCAGCAAACUACAGCUUGGGAAGCCAAGCAGGGAAGAGAGCAGUGAGGCAGCUCUGGAGGUGCUUCACCACCUGCUUGUCUGCUCUUUGCUCAAAAUCGCUGAUCAGAAACCCCGAACCCACGUUGUCUUCCCUCACAGAAAUGAAUCCCUAUUCAAGGCUCAGAUUAUUCAAUAAUGAAAUCCACAGGCAUGGUGGUGACUUUCGCUGGAUUAUGAAGGUCAAAAUGCCAGUUCUUCAGAACUGAGAAAUCUCUGGUGAAAUCUCCUUCUCAUUUCAGAUUUCAGAGCUCUAUCUUUCUCUGUGCACUUGCAUUUGCAUCUUUGAAAACUGGAAUGAGCUAUUAACUGCUAGCAUCAUUCUGGUGGGGAAAGAAAAAUUAAGAGACAAGGGUCAAGAUUGAUCAAGAAUUAUUUACAGUCAUUCUGAAAAUUUGACAGUACUGAGAUUCAGAAAAAAUGCUUACUAACCACAGAGAGCUACAGCAGGAGAGACAGGAGUAGAGUCUCUUUCAAAGACACACCAGGCUUCAGCUUGGGGUUCACGGUUCCAAGAGCAGGUCACCAGGUGGUUGGUCUCAGAAAUGUUUCUUUCAUAUGACUGGGUUUGUGUCAUAUCUGCUGUACACUGAGCAGCACAAAUUGAUAUUUUAAAAGCCCAUCUUUAGUUCUUAUUUUUUGAGCAUGGCAUCCAUUUAUUUCUCUGUGAGCAAAUAUUCAUAGCUGUGAACAAAUUCUUUUCAUAAUCAAGGGAAAAAAGACUCUUGAGACUCUUCAGCACCAGGAAGAAAAAUGUUUUCAAAAUAGCUAUAAACAGGAGUUGCAAGUGUCUUCAGCUGUUCAUGCCCUGUUGCUUUGCAGCGGGCUUUUCAUCACUGUCUGUCAGCCUGGGCUAUGGAUGUUUCUGCAGGGACUCUCUUUUCCUCAUCAGUUCUCAGCAGUCCAGGAUUAAACAUAUCUGAUUGCUUAAUAUGUAUCCAUUAAGCCAGUAAUGAGUAAUUGCUGCACUGGUUUCCUUCAGUGACUGAGAGGCUGACAUUUUUCUGAUGUCUUUCCUUUAGAGAGCUUAAGUUAAUUGAACCCUAAAUGAAAAGCUUCAUCCUGAAUCUCUGAAGCCAGUGGUGGUUUUGUCAUGACCUCGGGGGAAAAGGCACGAGGCCCUAUGGGCACAAUUUGGGAAAUUCUCAUUUGCAUGUCUGAUACUCUUGAGGCACCACUGUGAAUAGGAUUAACCAUCAGAAGAGAACUGCAGUCACAAAAUCAAUGCUACGCCCUCUGCAGCUGAGAGUCAUUUUCUAAACAAUGGAAGUUGUUUUAUGCUAUGAAAGGGUUAAGCACCUCUGCCUGAAGGAGAAUGAGUAAUAACUGCUGAAAAAAUGGGCCCAGCUCUGUACACAUCCUCAGUCCCCAGGAAGUCACUUCAUUGUAGUUGCAAGCGUACGCAUUUGGAUGCAUGAAUGUCAUGUAUACAUUUAAUGCUGUGGAAUUAAUGAGAACACUUCACAGUUUAAGUGGAGUAGGUGGCUUGGUAAUGCAGAAUCAGAACAAGAGAGCAAAGAGAGAAGAAAGAGGCAGAUGUGCAGCAAAGUGCAGACCCAGGUUGUUUCCACUGCAGACACGCACUUUAUAACAGACAUUGAGCAGGAUUUUUGCUGAAAGAAUUCACCAAGGUUUUAUGUUGGCUGUCUUAGAUUAAAUUAAAUACAAAGGAGAGGAGAAGAGUUAAUGUAGGUAAGAAAAAGAGGUAAACCAAUAACUGAUGCCUUUCUUUACCAGUACAAUUGAUUCAAAAACCCAACUUGAAUUACAUCACUAUUUCAAAUUCUCAUUUUUUUCCCCCUACAUUUUCAUUUCCAAGUUGAGGAAAACUUAAGCUUCAAAAUCCUAAGUGUAUAAGAUGUGUUCUUAAUUAAAUUUUUGGUAAGCAUUAGAGACAUAAAUGUAAAAAAAAUUAUUAUUUGAAUGGCUUCAUUUUGAAAGCAUAAGGCGUAUAUAUCCAACAAUAAUGUCAAUCGUUUUUUAGUUUUUCCUCUUGCAAAUUAAAUAAUCUUCAGAACAAA
ensembl:lncRNA